rnacentral:rRNA from 1 species
UUUCAUGGAGAGUUUGAUCCUGGCUCAGGACGAACGCUGGCGGCGUGCCUAAUACAUGCAAGUCGAGCGAAUCUYGAGGUGCUUGCACCUCUUGGUUAGCGGCGGACGGGUGAGUAACACGUGGGCAACCUGCCUGUAAGACUGGGAUAACAUCGGGAAACCGAUGCUAAUACCGGAUAAUCCUUUUCCUCUCAUGAGGGAAAGCUGAAAGUCGGCUUCUCGCUGACACUUACAGAUGGGCCCGCGGCGCAUUAGCUAGUUGGUGAGGUAACGGCUCACCAAGGCGACGAUGCGUAGCCGACCUGAGAGGGUGAUCGGCCACACUGGGACUGAGACACGGCCCAGACUCCUACGGGAGGCAGCAGUAGGGAAU